rnacentral:misc_RNA from 1 species
CGACCUCGAGCUCAGCUUGGUGUUGAGGAUUGCAGCGCAUCCUUCAAAAGCAUCGGCGGCAGCGCAGCUCCAUCGCAGCACAAUGCGUGCAGGCUGUCACCUGUUUGCCAGAACCCUUUUUUCUAA